AAACCGUUCAGGGGUAAACCUGAGAAACCCAAAAGAUCGAAUGGGGAGAUUCAUCGGUCAGCUCAUUUUGUAUAUAUAUGAGGUAUGAUAUGGGUUACUACUUGUAGUAUUGCUUAUACAUUCUUGUAUAUUUUAUUGCAUGGUGUUGUCGGCGUGCACUUCUCCCCUAGUAGGACGUCGCGACCCGUUGAGUGUCGGUCUACGGCCCAAGUGGUAGCCUUUAAUUUUUUUAUAAAAUUAAAGACCCUUGGUGUUUCCUGACUGGCUAUUCGGCGGUAUUCGUACGGUAUUAAGCCGCAUUUUUGCGUUCAUAUCCGUCGCAAGCGCGGUCAAUUUUUGGCAGUACGGACCCAGUGCCGUCGCUAUUAUUGAUCAGCUGUUGGUUGUACGGUAUUCUAGAACUGGCUUAUAAUUAAUAUACCGGUCAGCGAUGCUUCAGCUUUGGGUACUUUCAGGA
rnacentral:rRNA from 1 species